rnacentral:rRNA from 1 species
AUUCCAGCUCCAAUAGCGUAUAUUAAAGUUGUUGCGGUUAAAAAGUUCGUAGUUGGAUUUCUGUGAAGGAUAACCGGUCCGCACUAUGUGCGUGUAUCUGUUUGUCCUUUGCAUCCUCGCGGAAUACGUCACUGUGCUUCACUGCAUGGGGCGGGCUUCGCGACUUUUACUUUGAGGAAAUUAGAGUGUUCACGGCAGGCUCACGCCAUGAAUAUAUUAGCAUGGAAUAAUAAUAUAGGACCUUGGUUCUAUCUUGUUGGUUUCUAGGGCUAAGGUAAUGAUUAAUAGGGACAAUUGGGGGCAUUCGUAUUAACGCGUCAGAGGUGGAAUUCUUGGAUUGCGUUACGACGAACUACUGCGAAAGCAUUUGCCAAGGAUGUUUUCAUCA